UUAAAAUACAUUUUAAUAUUGCAUUAGAUUAUGCACAUUACAAUGUGAUUUAAAGCAGUUCCUUAAAAUGCAAUAAAGUGCAAAUGCAAAAUAGAGGUAAUUUACAGAAAGGCAUAAAAUAUGAGCAUUACCUUAUCAAUGUUCCAGACUGUGGCAGAAGAGGGACACAGAGUAAGUUGUUCUGUCUCCUGUUGGACAAUGGGACCCGUAUAACCUGGUUUGUUCUAACGGAAGAAGGAGAAGUAUUCCCUUCUUGUUGUUCAGAAACAUAAUUUCUAUUUUUCAUGCAGUUUUUGUAGGUUAUUUCCCAAAUAGAGAAGCUUCUGGAUACAUAAAAGAAAAGCUUUGAAGACCGUAAAAAGAGGAAAACGGUGUGUGGUGCAGAAAGGGGAUGAUGUACUUUUGUCGCGGGAUCUGAAGCGAAGACGCACAGGAGACGGAUUAACCAGUAAGCACAAAGGACCAUACACUGUCUCCAGCAUCACAGCGAAGAGGGUGGCUACCACUGUCAAAGGAGCAACUCUAUGGAGGUGCAUGUGUCCAGGUGCUCCCACAGAUCUAAAGAUGCAUCCAAGUGAGGAAUUUUCUUCUGGACCACUCGUGACUCCUGAAUGGCAGGUUGAUCACCACUCAGUUCAGGAGCCAAGUGGCAAAAAAUAUAAACCCUCUUCAGUCUAGUCUGAUGAAAACCGUCCAGGAGAGCUGAUUGUUAAGGAGGAAAACAUCUGCUUGACCAGAGAGGACUUUUGGAGCCUGGCUCUAUCAGAGUGCAUGGAAUCCACCGUAAGUAUUCUUAGUCCAACGUACUGUACAGACAACAUUUAACGCAAGAUCGAAGAGUAUUUCUUUUUGUUAUUUCAGAUUGGCAUAGCCUGUCUAAAAGCUGCACGGCGACGUGUUAUUUGUCAUCCUGCUACAUCUUUUCUUUGGUGAUAGCCAUGAUGGUGGUUG